rnacentral:rRNA from 1 species
AUUGAACGCUGGCGGCAGGCCUAACACAUGCAAGUCGAGCGGAUGAAGGGAGCUUGCUCCUGGAUUCAGCGGCGGACGGGUGAGUAAUGCCUAGGAAUCUGCCUGGUAGUGGGGGAUAACGUCCGGAAACGGGCGCUAAUACCGCAUACGUCCUGAGGGAGAAAGUGGGGGAUCUUCGGACCUCACGCUAUCAGAUGAGCCUAGGUCGGAUUAGCUAGUUGGUGGGGUAAAGGCCUACCAAGGCGACGAUCCGUAACUGGUCUGAGAGGAUGAUCAGUCACACUAGAACUGCUACGCGGUGCAGACUCCUGAGGGAGGUCGGAGUAGAGAAUAUUGGACCAGGCGCAACAGGCGGCUCCACACAGGGCUGGUUUGGUAAGAUGGUCUUCGUUUAGUAAAGCACUAGAGUUGGGGAGGAAGCGCAGUAACUUAAUCCCGUGUUUUUGUGACCUCACAAACAGAAUAAGCACCUGCCAACUUGGUGCCACCACCAGCGGUAAGAAUCGAACAGAACACGUCUGAAC